UUUAAGGAAAUUGCUACUUUGAUUGGCAGGAGUCCUGACAUAGCUGGUAGCUUUCUGAAACAGAAAAAAAAAAGCUGCUGUCAGUGGUUGUCACUGUAGAGCUCCGCCCCUAACAACUCUACAUGUUGACACUCCUCAAGAGAAGCAGUCAUUGUGUUGCUGGAUACAAAUUACUGAGGAUAACUUCAGCUCUGGGAGGUUAUUGUCUGAAGACAGAAGAAGACCAACAGGCAAAUGAACUGCCAUGUCACCUGACCUUAGCUCCACUGAACACUGACACUGUUUGGAAAACUGCCACAUCAUGCUGGGAUGAUGUCUGAGUCACCAAAAUCUGGAAUCCAUGCAGCUCUUCACUCAUUAUUACAGCAUAUAGGGUAGUGCAAAUCAAAAUGUUUAGACAGGAUCAUAGAAAGGCUGACAGUAAGAAAGUACAAAGCAGUUAAUAAGCCUAUUUAAGCCUGAUGCAUACAGGAGAUAUUUAUUUAUUUGUGAAUAACAAAUAAGAAAAAACACAGACUGUCAUACUCUGACACGCAGUUCCAAAGCUGAGCCUGAAGUCAUAUCAGCAUGGGCAACAAAGGAAACUACUUCAAUCUCAAACUGUACUGUGGUUCAAAAGGUCUAAAAAUCUACAAGAACAAUGUGGCCAGAUUUCUUAAAAGUUGUUCAUUAUUCAUUCAGAAUUAUGAAUAAAUAAUGGAAAAAAAUUGCAAAAAGAGUGCAAGUGCAAUAAUAUAGAAAAGAUUCAGUAAGAAUAAACGGAUCAAAGGAAAAAAGAAUGAAUGAAGUGAGAUUAACAUGAGGCACUGAAACUGAAUCUGUUGAGUACUUUACUCUUACUUUACUGAAGUGAAUUGUUUGAAUGGUUUCAAGGUGAACCAUGUUGCUGUGCAGUUUUACCACAGUAAAAUGUCAGGAAGCCUUGUUUUGGGGAAGCAGUAUGAUGGACACGGAUGUGUAUGUGUGUUUAUAAAGGAAAGACAAACACACACUUCUCAGUUGCAGAACAGCAUCAACAAAAUGAAGGGAUUUUUCUCCACGAGCUUUCUCUUUUUGGGAGGAAUUGGCUAAAUAUACUGCCAAUUCAGAGGCUUUGGGAGCCUGAAGUGACUGUAACU
rnacentral:lncRNA from 1 species